rnacentral:rRNA from 1 species
AUUGAACGCUGGCGGCAGGCUUAACACAUGCAAGUCGAGCGGGGUGAUGGUGCUUGCACUAUCACUUAGCGGCGGACGGGUGAGUAAUGCUUAGGAAGCUGCCUAUUAGUGGGGGACAACAUCUCGAAAGGGAUGCUAAUACCGCAUACGUCCUACGGGAGAAAGCAAGGGAGCACUUGUGAGCUUGAGCUAAGAGAUGAGCCUAAGUCGGAUUAGCUAGUUGGUGGGGUAAAGGCCUACCAAGGCGACGAUCUGUAGCGGGUCUGAGAGGAUGAUCCGCCACACUGGGACUGAGACACGGCCCAGAAUCCUACGGGAGGCAGCAGUGGGGAAUAUUGGACAAUGGGGGGAACCCUGAUCCAGCCAUGCCGCGUGUGUGAAGAAGGCCUUAUGGUUGUAAAGCACUUUAAGCGAGGAGGAGGCUCUUUUGGUUAAUACCCAAGAUGAGUGGACGUUACUCGCAGAAUAAGCACCGGCUAACUCUGUGCCAGCAGCCGCAGUAA